UACGGGGGGGGCAAGCGUUGUUCGGAAUUACUGGGCGUAAAGGGCUCGUAGGUGGCCAAUUAAGUCAGGCGUGAAAUCCCCAGGCUCAACUUGGGAACUGCGUCUGAUACUGGUUGGCUUGAAUUCGGGAGAGGGAUGCAGAAUUCCAGGUGUAGCGGUGAAAUGCGUAGAUAUCUGGAGGAACACCGGUGGCGAAGGCGGCAUCCUGGACCGAUAUUGACGCUGAGGCGCGAAAGCCAGGGGAGCAAACGGG
rnacentral:rRNA from 1 species